GGCGAGCGAAGCGGGAAAAGCCCAAAAUGAAAAGCCAGCUUGCUGGCGUUGUAGUUGAGCGACCUUGGGGUGUCAGUCUGGGUAAGUCGCAUGGAAAUGCGUGCCGUGGAGGGUGAGAGCCCCGUCCAUCCCAUUCAGGACACCCCGCACAAGGGCGUUUCAGACGAGUCGGGUAGCUUGGGAAUGCUGCUCUAAUUGGUGGUAAAUCUCAUCAAAGGCUAAAUAACGGUGGGAGACCGAUAGCGAACAAGUACCGUGAGGGAAAGAUGACAAGCACUUUGAAAAGAGGGUGAAAAGAGCCUGAAACCGUUACGGGGGAAGCGGAUCGCGUUGGCCUGGUGGCCGCCUGUGUGUUCAGCCUUCGGGUGCAUUGAUGCAGGUGGUUAUCCGUCGUGGCUUCUCGGUGGCCGAAUUUGGGCUGCUGGGGGGUGAGGGCUCCCUUCGGGUGAGGACGACGGAGUGACGACGCGAUACGACCCGUCUUGAAACACGGACCAAGGAGUCUAGCGCGGGUGCGAGUCGGAGGGUGUUAAAACCCGUGGGCGAAGUGAAAGCGAGUGUAAAAACGAGCAGUUUGAGGCGGCAUAGAAUCGUUGAUUCUAGGUCCGACCUUGAGCAGUUGCGCUGGGACCCGAAAGAUGGUGAACUAUGCCGGAGUAGGGCAAAGCCAGAAGAAAUUCUGGUGGAGGCUCGUAGCGGUGCUGACGUGCAAAUCGCUCGUCGAACUUGGGUAUAGGGGCGAAAGACUAAUCGAACCAUCUAGUAGCUGGUUCCCUCCGAAGUUUCUCUCAGGAUAGCGGGCCGACAAGUUGUUUUGUGCGGUAAAGCGAAUGAUUAGCGCAUUCGGGGCCGUUUAGGCUUUGGGCGAUUCUCAAACUUUCAAUGCGCAAGGGUACCGGUGCUUUGUUGAGCGGUACCGAUAAAAACGUCGGCCUUGUGGGCCACUUUUGGUAAGCAGAACUGGCGAUACGGGAUGAACCGUAAGCAUGGUUAAGGUGCCAAACUGCCCGCCCAAGGAGUGUGUAACAACUCACCUGCCGAAUGAUUUAGCCCUGAAAAUGGAUGGCGCUUAAGCGGGCGACCGACACCAUGCCGUCUGUAAAAUAAAUCAGAUGAGUAGGAGGGCGUGGCGGCCGUGUCGAAGCGCGCCUGCAGAGGCGUGUGGAACGGCCGCUAGUGCAGAUCUUGGUGGUAGUAGCAAAUAUUCAAGCGAGAUCCUUGAAGGGCGAAGCGGGGAAGGGUUCCACGCGAACAUUGAUUGGGCGUGGGUGAGUCGUUCCUAAGCCGAGUGGCGAUUGCUAAGUAGCGGCGAAAGGGAAGCGGGUUGACAUUCCCGCACACGGAUGUGGAGGCGGCGACGCUUUAUUGGGGCGAACACGCUGGCGGUGGCGCUGGGCAGAGUUGUCUUUUCUGUUUGACCGCUGAUGCACGCGGUGUGGAAUCCGCUUGUCGGGAGAAACACGCGUGUACGGGCAGAGCGCCGGGGCUUUUCCGGCGUCCAGCUCGCCACCGACGGCCCUUGAAACUUUGCCUGCUGGUAUUUUAAGAUCCACGCCGUGGCGUACCGAUCACCGCAUCAGGUCCCCGAGGUGAACAGCCUCUGCUCAAUAUGAAAAAUGCAGGUAAGGGAAGUCGGCAAAUUGGACCCGUAACUUUGGGAAAAGGGUUGGCUCUAGUGCUGCGUGGGAGUGGUUGUCGGGUGUUGGUAUGUUUAGGCUUGCUGAGCGAGCGCGGGCCUUCGGGACUGUGUUUGUUCGGCGAGCCCGGAUGUGCCACGCUCGACGACRCCCACAGCAUGCAGCAUUAAUUAAAACAAAGCAUUGCGAAGGCCGUGGCCGGUGAUGACGCAAUGUGAUUUCUGCUCAGUGCUCUGAAUGUCAAAGUGAAGAGAUUCAAUCAAGCGCGGGUAAACAGCGGGAGUAACUAUGACUCUCUUAAGGUAGCCAAAUGCCUCGUCAUCUAAUUAGUGACGCGCAUGAAUGGAUUAACGAGAUUCCUACUGUCCCUAUCUGCUUCUAGCGAAACCACAGCCGAGGGAACGGGCUCGGCGAAAUCGGCGGGGAAAGAAGACCCUGUUGAGCUUGACUCUAUUCUAAUUUUGUGAAGCAAGCUGGGAGGUGUAGCAUAGGUGGGAGACUUCGGUCGUCCGUGAAAUACCACUACUCCCAGUCUUGCUUUACUUACUGGGUGGGUGUGGAUGAGUCUUACGACUCUUUUCUGGAACCAACUCAAUUUAAUUUGAGGACCACAGCCCAGUACACAUUUAGGAGGGGAGUUUGGCUGGGGCGGUACAUCUUCUACAAGACAACGAAGGUGUCCAAAGAUAAGCUCAGUGAGAACAGAAAUCUCACGUAGCGCAAAAGGGUAAAAGCUUGUUUGAUUUUGAUUUUCAGUGCGAGUCAAAAACGCGAAAGCGUGGCCUAUCGAUCCUUUCACGAUUCGAGAUUUGAAGCGAGAGGUGUCAGAAAAGUUACCACAGGGAUAACUGGCUUGUGGCGGCCAAGCGUUCAUAGCGA
rnacentral:rRNA from 1 species